AUGGCCGGCGUCGGCGCCGACGGCGGAGGAGACACGGAGAUGGGUGGCUGGUCAGAGCUGCUCAACACCUCCACCAAGCUCCUCGAGCAGGCCGCCCCCACCCCUCACUUCCCUACCCUCCAGAGGAACCUGGACCAGCUCGAGGUGCUCUCCACGAAGCUUAAGGCCAAGACGAUCCGCGCCGAGGCGCCGUCGCAGUCGCUCUCCGCCACCAGGUUGCUGGCGCGCGAGGGGAUCAAUGCGGAGCAGCUCACCAGGGACCUCAAGUCAUUUGAACUCAAGACCACCUUUGAGGAUGUUUUUCCGUCGGAAGCAACUUCUAUCGAGGAAUACCUGCAACAGCUUCAUGAAAUGGCAAUCGUCUCAUCCAUCCAAGGAGCACAAAAGGACAACUUAAAGAGUUUUAACAAUUAUAUGAUGCAAGUUCUUGAGGAUGACUGGCAGAAGGAGAAGAGAGAUUUCUUGCAGAGUCUAAGCCGACUUUCUACAUUACCAAAGAGAAACACCAAUCUAGCUGGUGGUCUGUCUCGUUAUACUCUGAUGCCAUCUUCAGCUUCCAGUCCUCAAGCUUCAUCAGGGCUGCCCGCUGCGGAAGUCAUGCCCAUACCUAACAAGACCAUAAUUGAUAGUAAAUCUUCAGUUUACGCGGGGGUUGUGAAGGAUCUCAACGAUGCUAGAGGACGCAGUCUGCCUUUCAGUCCUGCUACCGCUUUCAGAGCUGCCUACGAGUCCUUGUCUCUUGAUGCUACUGGCUUGAAGUCAGUGACCAUGCAGAAAGUGUGGCAUUUGAUUCAGGCAUUAGUAGGGGAAGGGUCAACUCAUAGAAACGUUUCAAGAAAAAUGUCACUAGUGGUUGGAGCAAGGCGACACCUCGAAUGGGGUCAUGAGAAAUACAUUAUUGAGACCAUCAACAGCCAGCCAGCACUAGCUGCUCUUGGUGGAUCGGUUGGCAAUCUUCAAAAGAUUCGUGCAUUUCUUCGGGUCCGGUUGCGGGAUCAUGGCGUGUUAGACUUUGAUGCAAGUGAUCUUCGCAGACAGCCACCAGUGGAUACAACAUGGCAGCAGAUUUAUUUCUGCUUAAGAACUGGGUAUUAUGAUGAAGCAAGGCAAGUUGCUCAAUCAUCUCGUGCUGCUUACAACUUCGCCCCUCUGCUUGCAGAAUGGAUUACUACUAAUGGUGCUGUGUCAUCAGAGACCGCUCUGACAGCUUCUGAGGAAUGUGAAAAAAUGCUCAGAAUGGGUGACCGACCAGGGCGUCCUGGUUAUGAUAGGAAGAAGUUGCUUCUUUAUGCCAUAAUUUGUGGCUGUCGACGGCAAAUUGACAGAUUACUUAAAGAUCUCCCAACACUUUUCAAUACUAUAGAGGAUUUCUUGUGGUUCAAGUUGUCAGCUCUGCGGGAAUACUCCAGUGCAUCUUCUUCUAAUGUUGCGAAUGAAGGCUUGGUUCCUUAUAUGCUGGAGGAUUUACAAAAUUAUCUGAACAAAUUUGAGCCAUCAUAUUAUACAAAAAGUGGAAAAGACCCCUUGGUCUAUCCCUAUAUUCUGCUCUUAAGCAUCCAAUCACUUCCAGCAAUUCUUUAUUUGUCUAAAGAAGUUGGAGAGGAAGGGUACCAUGUUGAUGCUGUGCAUAUUUCAAUUACUCUAGCUGAUCAUGGUAUUCUCCCUGAGGGAGUUGGAUCAGGUCAGAAGAUGGGUGUAAUGGAUGCUUGCGCAGAAGCUGACAGUAUUAUACGGCAAUAUGGCUCUAUUUACUUGCGCAAUGGCAACCUUGAUUUGGCCUUGGAAUAUUAUGCACAGGCUGCUGCUGCAAUGGGUGGAGGAGAGGUAUCAUGGAUUGGUCAAGGGAAUGCUGAUCAACAACGUCAACGAAGUUCAAUGUUGAAGCAACUGCUCACAGAGAUAUUACUAAGGGACGGUGGUAUUCAACUUCUGCUUGGUCCAAGUGGAAUGGGAGAAGGAGAACUAAAAAAGUAUAUGAUGGAUUGGAGAAGUAGGCAGCAAUUCUUGCUUGAAGCCGCCCAUCGAUGUCAAGAGGCAGGGCUCUAUGACAAAUCAGUGGAAAUUCACAAAAGAGUUGGAGCCUUUGCCAUGGCACUUCAGACAGUAAACAAGUGUCUAUCGGAUGCAGUAUGUGCCCUGGCACACAAUAUGUUAGAUGGCGAAAGCCGUGCUGUUGCUCUAAUUCAAUCUGGCAAUGAAAUUUUGGAGACAGCCAGAUAUUCUUCUGAAGCCAGUGUUCAAGACAAGGAUCUCAUUUCUGAACAGCAAAUUAUACUGAGACAGCUUGAAGCUAUUCUUCACAUUUAUAGGCUAGCUCGUGCUGGACAAACUGUUGACGCUCUGAGGGAAACCAUCAAACUUCCAUGUCUUCAUUUGGAUCCACAGUCUUCGAAUGUAUCAGUCGAUGUAUUCAGGAAUUUAUCACCCCAUGUUCAAGCUUGUGUGCCAGAUCUCCUGAAGGUUGCUCUAAACUGCAUGGACAAUGUUAGAGAUACCGAUGGGACCCUGCGUGCUGUCAAGUCAAAGAUUGCGAACCUUGUGGCAAGCAACAUGAGCAGGAAUUGGCCACAGGAUUUGUACCAGAAGGUGGCUCAGUGCAUAUGA
rnacentral:rRNA from 1 species